rnacentral:rRNA from 1 species
AGAGUUUGAUCCUGGCUCAGGACGAACGCUGGCGGCGUGCUUAACACAUGCAAGUCGAGCGGUAAGGCCCUUCGGGGUACACGAGCGGCGAACGGGUGAGUAACACGUGAGCAAUCUGCCCAUCACAUCGGGAUAACUCCGGGAAACCGGUGCUAAUACCGAAUAUGACCACUUCAGGCAUCUGACGGUGGUGGAAAGUUCCGGCGGUGAUGGAUGAGCUCGCGGCCUAUCAGCUUGUUGGUGGGGUAACGGCCCACCAAGGCUUCGACGGGUAGCCGGCCUGAGAGGGCGACCGGCCACACUGGGACUGAGACACGGCCCAGACUCCUACGGGAGGCAGCAGUGGGGAAUAUUGGACAAUGGGCGAAAGCCUGAUCCAGCAACGCCGCGUGAGGGAUGACGGCCUUCGGGUUGUAAACCUCUUUCAGCAGGGACGAAGCGAAAGUGACGGUACCUGCAGAAGAAGCACCGGCCAACUACGUGCCAGCAGCCGCGGUAAUACGUAGGGUGCGAGCGUUGUCCGGAAUUAUUGGGCGUAAAGGGCUCGUAGGCGGUUUGUCGCGUCGGGAGUGAAAACUCAGGGCUUAACCCUGAGCCUGCUUCCGAUACGGGCAGACUAGAGGUAUGCAGGGGAGAACGGAAUUCCUGGUGUAGCGGUGAAAUGCGCAGAUAUCAGGAGGAACACCGGUGGCGAAGGCGGUUCUCUGGGCAUUACCUGACGCUGAGGAGCGAAAGUGUGGGGAGCGAACAGGAUUAGAUACCCUAGUAGUCC